GGCAGUUCUUGGGUGAUGCACCCUGGAAUUGGGCUCUCUCUUCUCUGGUUCCAGGUGUGUCACCCGAGAACCACA
rfam:Myotis davidii contig70458, whole genome shotgun sequence.